GUACUUGCUUCGGCAGUGCAUAUACUAAAAUUGGAACGAUACAGAGGAGAGAUUAGCAUGGCUCUGCGCAAGAAUGACAUGCGAAUUCGUGUGAAGUAUUUCACUCUGUA